rnacentral:lncRNA from 1 species
ACUCUACCUGGUACCAAUACAGUGAAGCUUGUUAUAGUUUCUAUGUACAUAGAUUCCUGAUGCAAUGAGAAAGGUGAAGCUUCAGUCUCCAGUGGAGGAUUGAUCCACUCGAUAUCCAUCUCCUGCAUCAUCAUCAGCUCAGGUGGGGCGGGCGCCAAAGUUCAGUGCAUGUUUUCUUUUUGGCUCAGCUACAGUAACUGUUAUCAGUAUCUGCGUUAUGGAAAGCUGGGGCGGGUGUGUGUGUGUGUGUGUGUGUGUGGGGGGGGGGGGGGGGGUCAUAUAUAAGGACACGCAGAAAGGAGCAGACAGCCCUAAAGAACAUCUGAAGCCGAGAUGAAGAACGCGGGGAUGCUGGUGGUCUGGGUGUGCCUGGCCUUCGCACUGGGCAGAACCGAGGGACAGAACACAACCACUGAAUCAAGCUCCACAGGGGUCAGCGGCAGCACGGAGUCGCCCGGUACCACCGGUACCAGCGGGCCCACGGCGCAGCCCGGCAGCUCCACCCGUGGGAGCGACGCCGGCUCCUCCCAGAACACGGCUGCCGGCACCGCGUCCAGCGGAGGCGCUCCGUCCUCCGCGUCCGCGGCCCCCGGCACCACCAGCAACGCUGGCACGACCACGACCACGUCCGGAGCAGCGCGCGCGGCCCCGUUGGGGCUCCGCGGCCACAUCCUGCUGCCCGUCACCCUCCUGCUCUACGCGGCGCAUUGACAGCACGCCCCCCGUUACAGCUGCUGUUCUCUGCCGCCCACGCUAUGAAGUGCUGCGUCAGCACUGAGCGCUCGGCCGCUUUGGGCCUAGACGGCUUCACGGGACGUACGAGAACCCCAAACGUCCUAGUGCAAACAUCAAAAUGCUCAGCAGGAGAGGAUUAAAGGUGAAGGAGCCUCAGUUCUGCUAAAACCCUGCUUCUGGCAGACUCAUGGUUGUUGCCUAUUUGCAUUUAGGCAGAUAUUCAAUUUUAUUCAAACAGCACAUUCAAAUGCCGGCUGUAUGUUCGGAGCCACCUUUAAUGGCUCGUUUGCUUUAUGUCCUUGUUUAUGUGAAUAUUGCAAAGUGAUGUAUGUCACAGCACGAAGUACAUAGAGCGCCUGAGCAGCGUGUUGUAUGUGCACAUAUGUGACGCUGAUUAACAAUGGUUGAAGGAUGAUGACUAUUUGUUGCUGUUUUAAUAAUAAUAAUGAAAUAAUAAUUAAUAAAACACAUCAUUUACACA